rnacentral:rRNA from 1 species
UGCAGAGGUCUCAACCGUUGUUCGGAUUCAUUGGGCGUAAAGGGUGCGUAGGCGGUCGUGUAAGUCGGAUGUGAAAUCCCGGGGCUCAACCCCGGAACUGCAUUCGAUACUGCAUGGCUAGGGUACUGGAGAGGAAACUGGAAUUUACGGUGUAGCAGUGAAAUGCGUAGAUAUCGUAAGGAAGACCAGUGGCGAAGGCGAGUUUCUGGACAGUUACCGACGCUGAGGCACGAAGGCCAGGGGAGCAAACGGG